AGCAGCCGCGGUAAUUCCAGCUCCAAUAGCGUAUAUUAAAGUUGUUGCAGUUAAAAAGCUCGUAGUUGAAUUUCGGGAUCAAUAUUUCGGUCAUGCCGUUGGUAUGCACUGUUAUCAUUGAUUUCUCACCUUCUAAAGAACCGUAAUGCCAUUAAUUUGGUGUUACGGGGAAUUAGGACUGUUACCUUGAAAAAUUAGAGUGUUUAAAGCAGGCUCACGCUUGAAUACAUUAGCAUGGAAUAAUGAAAUAGGACAUCCGAUUCUAUUUUGUUGGUUUCUAGGAUCGAUGUAAUGAUUAAUAGGGAUAGUUGGGGGGCAUUAGUAUUCAAUUGUCAGAGGUGAAAUUCUUGGAUUUAUUGAAGACUAACUACUGCGAAAGCAUUUGCCAAGGAUGUUUUCAUUAAUCAAGAACGAAAGUUAGGGGAUCGAAGACGAUCAGAUACCGUCGUAGUCUUAACCAUAAACUAUGCCGACUAGGGAUCGGAUGAUGUUAAUUUUUAAUGA
rnacentral:rRNA from 1 species